GAUGAACGCUGGCGGCGUGCCUAAUACAUGCAAGUCGAGCGAACAGAUAAGGAGCUUGCUCCUUUGACGUUAGCGGCGGACGGGUGAGUAACACGUGGAUAACCUACCUAUAAGACUGGGAUAACUUCGGGAAACCGGAGCUAAUACCGGAUAACAUAUUGAACCGCAUGGUUCAAUAGUGAAAGGCGGCUUUGCUGUCACUUAUAGAUGGAUCCGCGCCGUAUUAGCUAGUUGGUAAGGUAACGGCUUACCAAGGCAACGAUACGUAGCCGACCUGAGAGGGUGGUCGGCCACACUGGAACGGAGACACGGUCAAGACUCCUAAGGGAGGCAGCAGUAGGGAAUCGUCCGCAAUGGGCGAAAGCCUGACGGAGCAACGCCGCGUGAGUGAUGAAGGUCUUCGGAUCGUAAAACUCUGUUAUCAGGGAAGAACAAAUGUGUAAGUAACUGUGCACAUCUUGACGGUACCUGAUCAGAAAGCCACGGCUAACUACGUG
rnacentral:rRNA from 1 species